rnacentral:tRNA from 1 species
GCGUCCGUAGCUCAGUUGGAUAGAGUACCUGGCUACGAACCAGGCGGUCAGAGGUUCGAAUCCUCUCGGACGCGCCA